rnacentral:rRNA from 1 species
GAUGAACGCUGGCGGCGUGCCUAAUACAUGCAAGUCGAGCGAACAGACGAGGAGCUUGCUCCUCUGACGUUAGCGGCGGACGGGUGAGUAACACGUGGAUAACCUACCUAUAAGACUGGGAUAACUUCGGGAAACCGGAGCUAAUACCGGAUAAUAUAUUGAACCGCAUGGUUCAAUAGUGAAAGACGGUUUUGCUGUCACUUAUAGAUGGAUCCGCGCCGCAUUAGCUAGUUGGUAAGGUAACGGCUUACCAAGGCAACGAUGCGUAGCCGACCUGAGAGAGUGAUCGGCCACACUGGAACGGAGACACGGUCCAGACUACUACGAGAGGGAGCAGUAGGGAAUCUUACGCAAUGGGCGAAAGCCUGACGGAGCAACGCCGCGUGAGUGAUGAAGGUCUUCGGAUCGUAAAACUCUGUUAUUAGGGAAGAACAAAUGUGUAAGUAACUAUGCACGUCUUGACGGUACCUAAUCAGAAAGCCACGGCUAACUACGUG